rnacentral:rRNA from 1 species
UCUAGAGGCUUCCACAAUGGACGAAAGUCUGAUGGAGCGACGCCGCGUGCGGGAUUGAAGGUCGUGAGAUUGUAAACCGCUGUCAGCAGGGAAGAAGGCCCGAAUGGUGAAUUCGGGACAGACGGUACCUGCAGAGGAAGCCCCGGCUAACUCCGUGCCAGCAGCCGCGGUAAUACGGAGGGGGCUAACGUUGUUCGGAAUUACUGGGCGUAAAGGGUGCGUAGGCGGUUUGGUAAGUCUGGUGUGAAAUUUCCUCGCUUAACGAGGAAACUGCAUUGGAAACUGCUGAGCUCGAGGGUGGGAGAGGCAGGUGGAAUUCCUGGUGUAGCGGUGGAAUGCGUAGAUAUCAGGAAGAACACUCGUGGCGAAGGCGGCCUGCUGGCCCAUUCCUGACGCUGAGGCACGAAAGCCAGGGGAGCAAACG